GACGAACGCUGGCGGCGUGCUUAACACAUGCAAGUCGAACGGAAAGGCCCCUUUGGGGGUACUCGAGUGGCGAACGGGUGAGUAACACGUGAGUAACCUGCCCUUGACUUCGGGAUAACUUCAGGAAACUGGGGCUAAUACCGGAUAGGAAUCCUUGCUGCAUGGUGGGGGUUGGAAAGCUUCGGCGGUUUUGGAUGGACUCGCGGCUUAUCAGCUUGUUGGUGGGGUAGUGGCUUACCAAGGCUUUGACGGGUAGCCGGCCUGAGAGGGCGACCGGCCACAUUGGGACUGAGAUACGGCCCAGACUCCUACGGGAGGCAGCAGUGGGGAAUAUUGCACAAUGGGCGGAAGCCUGAUGCUGCAACGCCGCGUGCGGGAUGACGGCCUUCGGGUUGUAAACCGCUUUCAGCAGGGGCGAAGCUUGUGGUGACGGUACCUGCAGAAGAAGCACCGGCUAACUACGUG
rnacentral:rRNA from 1 species